rnacentral:rRNA from 1 species
UAGCAUAUCAUAGCGGAGGAAAAGAAACCAACAGGGAUUGCCCUAGUAACGGCGAGUGAAGCGGCAACAGCUCAAAUUUGAAAUCUGGCUCUUUUAGAGUCCGAGUUGUAAUUUGCAGAGGGCGCUUUGGCUUUGGCAGCGGUCCAAGUUCCUUGGAACAGGACGUCACAGAGGGUGAGAAUCCCGUACGUGGUCGCUGGCUAUUGCCGUGUAAAGCCCCUUCGACGAGUCGAGUUGUUUGGGAAUGCAGCUCUAAAUGGGAGGUACAUUUCUUCUAAAGCUAAAUAUUGGCCAGAGACCGAUAGCGCACAAGUAGAGUGAUCGAAAGAUGAAAAGCACUUUGGAAAGAGAGUCAAACAGCACGUGAAAUUGUUGAAAGGGAAGCGCUUGCAGCCAGACUUGCUUGCAGUUGCUCAUCCGGGCUUUUGCCCGGUGCACUCUUCUGUAGGCAGGCCAGCAUCAGUUUGGGCGGUAGGAUAAAGGUCUCUGUCACGUACCUCUCUUCGGGGAGGCCUUAUAGGGGAGACGACAUACUACCAGCCUGGACUGAGGUCCGCGCAUCUGCUAGGAUGCUGGCGUAAUGGCUGUAAGCGGCCCGUCUUGAAACACGGACCAAGGAGUCUAACAUCUAUGCGAGUGUUUGGGUGUCAAGCCCGAGCGCGUAAUGAAAGUGAACGGAGGUGGGAACCCGCAAGGGUGCACCAUCGACCGAUCCUGAUGUCUUCGGAAGGAUUUGAGUAAGAGCAUGGCUGUUGGGACCCGAAAGAUGGUGAACUAUGCUUGAAUAGGGUGAAGCCAGAGGAAACUCUGGUGGAGGCUCGCAGCGGUUCUGACGUGCAAAUCGAUCGUCAAAUUUGGGCAUAGGGGCGAAAGACUAAUCGAACUAUCU